rnacentral:rRNA from 2 species
AGACCCGAAACCCGGUGAUCUAGCCAUGGGCAGGUUGAAGGUUGGGUAACACUAACUGGAGGACCGAACCGACUAAUGUUGAAAAAUUAGCGGAUGACCUGUGGCUGGGGGUGAAAGGCCAAUCAAACCGGGAGAUAGCUGGUUCUCCCCGAAAGCUAUUUAGGUAGCGCCUCGUGAAUUCAUCUCCGGGGGUAGAGCACUGUUUCGGCUAGGGGGCCAUCCCGGCUUACCAACCCGAUGCAAACUGCGAAUACCGGAGAAUGUUAUCACGGGAGACACACGGCGGGUGCUAACGUCCGUCGUGAAGAGGGAAACAACCCAGACCGCCAGCUAAGGUCCCAAAGUCAUGGUUAAGUGGGAAACGAUGUGGGAAGGCCCAGACAGCCAGGAUGUUGGCUUAGAAGCAGCCAUCAUUUAAAGAAAGCGUAAUAGCUCACUGGUCGAGUCGGCCUGCGCGGAAGAUGUAACGGGGCUAAACCAUGCACCGAAGCUGCGGCAGCGAACGUAUCACCCAAGACAACUUUACGGAGUUGACGAUUGACGGAGCGAAGCGACGUCAAAGCGUUCAUUAAAGUCGAGUUGGCUUAGGGAUACGUUCGUUGGGUAGGGGAGCGUUCUGUAAGCCUGUGAAGGUGUGUCGUGAGGCAUGCUGGAGGUAUCAGAAGUGCGAAUGCUGACAUAAGUAACGAUAAAGCGG